GUCACUUUGGCGGAGUGGUUAACGCGCAGCCCUGCUAUCGUCUGACUUGUCUGACUUGAUUCAAGUUGUUCAAUAUCGGUCUAAAAUAGGCUGUGACUUCGGUCGCGUAGGUUCGAAUCCUGCAGGUGACG